UCGGUGGUCUGGUGGUUAGCAUUUUUGUCUGCUGACUCAAAGGACGGGGGAUCGAACCCCGCCGCGAA
rnacentral:tRNA from 1 species